GCGGACGUGGCCGAAUGGAUCAGGCGCUUGUCUUCGAAACAGGUCGAUGCGGGUUCGAGUCCUGCCGUCCGCG
rnacentral:tRNA from 1 species